rnacentral:rRNA from 1 species
GACGAACGCUGGCGGCGCGCUUAACACAUGCAAGUCGAGCGACGAAACUUUAACAGAACCCUUCGGGGCGAAGAUAAAGUGGAUUAGCGGCGGACGGGUGAGUAACACGUGAGUAACCUGCCUUAGACAUUGGGAUAGCCUCGGGAAACCGGGAUUAAUACCAAAUAAAAUCAUAAUGACACAUGUCAUAACGAUCAAAACUCCGGUGGUCUAAGAUGGACUCGCGUCCCAUUAGCUAGUUGGUAGAGUAAAAGCCUACCAAGGCGACGAUGGGUAGCCGGCCUGAGAGGGUGAACGGCCACAUUGGAACUGAGAAACGGUCCAAACUCCUACGGGAGGCAGCAGUGGGGAAUAUUGCACAAUGGAGGGAACUCUGAUGCAGCGACGCCGCGUGAACGAAGAAGGCUUUCGAGUCGUAAAGUUCUUUUAUAUGGGAAGAUAAUGACGGUACCAUAAGAAAAAGCCCCGGCUAACUACGUG